rnacentral:rRNA from 1 species
UGGGGAGUACGGUCGCAAGAUUAAAACUCAAAGGAAUUGACGGGGACCCGCACAAGCGGUGGAUGAUGUGGAUUAAUUCGAUGCAACGCGAAAAACCUUACCUACCCUUGACAUGUACGGAAUCCUGAAGAAAUUUGGGAGUGCUCGAAAGAGAACCGUAACACAGGUGCUGCAUGGCUGUCGUCAGCUCGUGUCGUGAGAUGUUGGGUUAAGUCCCGCAACGAGCGCAACCCUUGUCAUUAGUUGCUACGAAAGGGCACUCUAAUGAGACUGCCGGUGACAAACCGGAGGAAGGUGGGGAUGACGUCAAGUCCUCAUGGCCCUUAUGGGUAGGGCUUCGCACGUCAUACAAUGGUACAUACAGAGGGCCGCCAACCCGCGAGGGGGAGCUAAUCCCAGAAAGUGUAUCGUAGUCCGGAUUGGAGUCUGCAACUCGACUCCAUGAAGUUGGAAUCGCUAGUAAUCGCGGAUCAGCAUGUCGCGGUGAAUACGUUCCCGGGUCUUGUACACACCGCCCGUCACACCAUGGGAGCGGGUUCUGCCAGAAGUAGUUAGCCUAACCGCAAGGGGGGCGAUUACCACGGCAGGGUUCGUGACUGGGGUGAAGUCGUAACAAGGUAACC